GGAGUCUGGGCCGUAUCUCAGUCCCAAUGUGGCCGAUCACCCUCUCAGGCCGGCUACCGAUCGUCGCCUUGGUGGGCCGUUGCCCCGCCAACUAGCUAAUCGGACGCAAGCUCAUCCCGCAUCGAUGAAUCUUUCGUCAACCCCGGAUGUCCGGGGCCACGUUAUUCGGUAUUAUCCGCGCGUUGGCACGGCUAUCCCAAUAUGCGGGGCAGAUUGCUUACGCGUUACUCACCCGUUCGCCGCUAUCCUUGCGGACCGCUCGACUUGCAUGUAUAAGACACGCCACCAGCGUUCGUU
rnacentral:rRNA from 1 species